AGGGUAAUAGUUAAUAAUAACAUUUAAUUUGCAUUUAAAAAGUAUUGAAUAUUUCAAUUUACCUUA
rnacentral:tRNA from 1 species